rnacentral:rRNA from 1 species
GAUCAUGGCUCAGAUUGAACGCUGGCGGAAUGCUUUACACAUGCUACUUUUGCCGGCGAGCGGCGGACGGGUGAGUAAUGCCUGGGGAUCUGCCCAGUCGAGGGGGAUAACUACUGGAAACGGUAGCUAAUACCGCAUACGCCCUACGGGGGAAAGCAGGGGACCUUCGGGCCUUGCGCGAUUGGAUGAACCCAGGUGGGAUUAGCUAGUUGGUGAGGUAACGGCUCACCAAGGCGACGAUCCCUAGCUGGUCUGAGAGGAUGAUCAGCCACACUGGAACUGAGACACGGUCCAGACUCCUACGGGAGGCAGCAGUGGGGAAUAUUGCACAAUGGGGGAAACCCUGAUGCAGCCAUGCCGCGUGUGUGAAGAAGGCCUUCGGGUUGUAAAGCACUUUCAGCGAGGAGGAAAGGUCAGUAGCUAAUAUCUGCUGGCUGUGACGUUACUCGCAGAAGAAGCACCGGCUAACUCCGUG